rnacentral:rRNA from 1 species
UACGUAGGGUGCAAGCGUUAAUCGGAAUUACUGGGCGUAAAGCGUGCGCAGGCGGUUAUGUAAGACAGAUGUGAAAUGCCCGGGCUUAACCUGGGAACUGCAUUUGUGACUGCAUGGCUAGAGUUUGGCAGAGGGGGGUAGAAUUCCACGUGUAGCAGUGAAAUGCGUAGAUAUGUGGAGGAACACCGAUGGCGAAGGCAGCCCCCUGGGUCAAGACUGACGCUCAUGCACGAAGGCGUGGGGAGCAAACAGG